AAUAACUUCAUUAGUAAUUAACAUAACAUACAUUCUACUUGUUCAUAAAUAUUUAAUUGUGAUUUAUAUUCGUACAUAACUUUACGAUGGCAUAAUUGUUUUCCCCUUUACCCUCACGAAAGUUUAAAAAAAUAAUACAAUUAUUUAUAGAAAAAGUAAUCUAAAGUUUGUAAAAUUGUAUUCAAUUAUAUUGAUUAUUAUUUAUAUCACAUGAAGUCCUUCUAUGUGUGCUAAAUGAACAAAAAUAACAGAUUGAUAUAUUUAAGAGAUAUUUAGUAAUAAUUUUAAAAUUCUGAAGAGCUUUUAAAAUUUUAUAAUGCUUAAACUAUUUAAUUAUUUCUAUAAGACCAUGAACUUUACUAUACACUAUAAAGAGAUCAAGUCAUUUACUAUUAUUUGGAUGCAAUAGGAAAAAAGAUGGCAAUGUAAAACAGAUAAAGAUUGUCCAAAACUUGGAAGAGCUAAUAUUAGGUGUCGUGAAGGCUAUUGUGUACGAAUCUAAAACAUCCUAAUGAGAUAAAUGAGUUCUUUCUCUAGCAAGAGAACUGUACAAUAAACCUUAUGCUAGAAUAUUCCACUUGUUGUCAUUUAGUGUUUGUUCAUGCACUCAAUAAGUAUUAUUUUCUUCUUAUGUUUAUCCCUAGUUUUAAGAACCUUGAAGUUAUGACUAUGUAUUCUAAGAUGAUGCAAAUGAAAUAAGGCAGCAAAGAGUUUUAUUUAUAGGAUCUCGUUGUCUCGUAAAUUUGGAGGUAUCACCAUGGCUUGCAAUCCAGACACAUCAGACCUAUAAUAAUAAGUUUAAUAGUUAUGUUGAAAUUGGUGAAGUACAUUAAAAAUAAUACAAAUUCAACAUUGCCAAAA